rnacentral:rRNA from 1 species
UGGGAAUUUUGGACAAUGGGCGCAAGCCUGAUCCAGCCAUGCCGCGUGCGGGAAGAAGGCCUUCGGGUUGUAAACCGCUUUUGUCAGGGAAGAAAUCUUCUGAGUUAAUACCUCGGGAGGAUGACGGUACCUGAAGAAUAAGCACCGGCUAACUACGUGCCAGCAGCCGCGGUAAUACGUAGGGUGCAAGCGUUAAUCGGAAUUACUGGGCGUAAAGCGUGCGCAGGCGGUUUUGUAAGACAGAGGUGAAAUCCCCGGGCUCAACCUGGGAACUGCCUUUGUGACUGCAAGGCUUGAGUGCGGCAGAGGGGGAUGGAAUUCCGCGUGUAGCAGUGAAAUUGCGUAGAUAUGCGGAGGAACACCGAUGGCGAAGGCAAUCCCCUGGGCCUGCACUGACGCUCAUGCACGAAAGCGUGGGGAGCAAACAGGAUUAGAUACCCUGGUAGUCCACGCCCUAAACGAUGUCAACUGGUUGUUGGGAAGGUUCCUUCUCAGUAACGUAGCUAACGCGUGAAGUUGACCGCCUGGGGAGUACGGCCGCAAGGUU